GACACAAAUGAUGAAUCACAAAGGGACUUAAUACCGAUCAUCUUGAUGUGAAAAAAAUUUUUAAUCUAGUGC